GGUUGAUUUACGGUUCCCCUUAAAGAGGGUGAUGAUUGUUAAUCAGGAUAAGGAUCAUCCUAUCCUGAUUAGCUAUGAAAGUUAUUUGAGUUUGUUUCUACUGUGGUCGAAGAAGAAUGGAGGGACAUGUGUGUUCUGAGCUAGAGGUGAAUGGUGGAUGUUUCUUGAUUGACAGGGUGUUUGACGAUGAACCACUAAUCUUUCCUGAAGAUUUUAAGGUUGAUGACGAUGUGAAGGAUGAAUUGCAAAAAGAUGUUGUGUUUUGUUUUCCAUCUGUGGUGAAUCAUGAGGAAGAUAAUGUUGAGAUGGAGGUAGUUGGACAAAUGACUGGGGUUGAAUCAUAGGAAGAUGAGAAGAUUAAAAUUCAUAGAGAUGUUGGUAAGGAAGUAAGGAAGGUGGCUAAGAACAAAUGGGUGCUACGCCCAGAUUUAGUUAAAGAUUGGAGGAGGACUGCAAAGAAUGCUGAGAAUAUGCAAAAGGAUAGAGGGUCUGUUGGAGGAAGUAGGGUUGCUGAGAACAUGGGUGAGUCUUCUAGGGAUGCUGUGAAUGCAAGUUUGGCUGCUGAGGGGUCUUGGCUUACUCCUAGAGCCACUGUUGGAAUGCUGAGCCCAAGGAAGAAAAUCUGAGAGGAGUUGGCAACUCAGGAAGGAACUAGCUAUCUCAAAGAACUGGAUUUAUGAGGUGUCUAUCGUGGAAUUGUAGGGGUAUUAGGAGGAAAUACUUUAGUAGUAAUUUUAAUUUUCUAUGGAGUUUAGUUAAGUUGGACUUUUUUUGCUUGCUUGAAGUUAAGGUGUCCCUUGAUAAGGUCCUUAAGAACUUUUAUGUUAAUCAUUUUGACAAUGUAUUUUGCUGUGAUUCUGUGGGAUGAACUGGGGGUCUUUGCUUAUGCUGGAAUGAUACUAUUGUUGCUAUUAAUAUUAUAUCUUCUACUAAAUUUAUUCAA